UACGGAGGGUGCAAGCGUUAUCCGGAUUCACUGGGUUUAAAGGGUGUGUAGGCGGGCUAUUAAGUCAGUGGUGAAAUCUCAGGGCUCAACCCUGAAACUGCCAUUGAUACUAUUAGUCUUGAAUAUCGUUGAGGUUGGCGGAAUAUAUCAUGUAGCGGUGAAAAUGCAUAGAUAUGAUAUAGAACACCGAUUGCGAAGGCAGCUAACUAAGCGAUGAUUGACGCUGAGGCACGAAAGCGUGGGGAUCAAACAGG
rnacentral:rRNA from 1 species